rfam:Trichuris suis scaffold47.3, whole genome shotgun sequence.
CAAACGGCCCUUUUCAGGGCCACCUAAUUUUGCUGUCGCAAACUG